rnacentral:rRNA from 1 species
UGAGGAAUAUUGGCCAAUGGGCGAGAGCCUGAACCAGCCAAGUAGCGUGCAGGAUGACGGCCCUAUGGGUUGUCAACUGCUUUUAUAUGGGAAUAAAGUGAGGGACGUGUCCCUUAUUGCAUGUACCAUACGCAUAAGGACCGGCUAAUUCCGUGCCAGCAGCCGCGGUAAUACGGAAGGUCCAGGCGUUAUCCGGUUUUAUUGGGUUUAAAGGGAGCGUAGGCCGUUUGGUAAGCGUGUUGUGAAAUGUAGGAGCUCAACUUCUAGAUUGCAGCGCGAACUGUCAGACUUGAGUGCGCACAACGUAGGCGGAAUUCAUGGUGUGGCGGUGAAAUACUUAGAUAUCAUGAAGAACGCCGAUUGCGAAGGCAGCUUACGGGAGCGCAACUGACGCUGAAGCUCGAAGGUGCGGGUAUCGAACAGG